GGCUCCAUUUGAUGACUCUCAUAAAAAGACAAGCAUAUGCCUGACAUUAAUGAUGCUAAAUUUUAAAUCUGAUCAGCC
rnacentral:snoRNA from 1 species